rnacentral:rRNA from 1 species
UGGGGAAUAUUGCACAAUGGGCGCAAGCCUGAUGCAGCCAUGCCGCGUGUGUGAAGAAGGCCUUCGGGUUGUAAAGCACUUUCAGCGAGGAGGAAGGUGGUGAACUUAAUACGUUCAUCAAUUGACGUUACUCGCAGAAGAAGCACCGGCUAACUCCGUGCCAGCAGCCGCGGUAAUACGGAGGGUGCAAGCGUUAAUCGGAAUUACUGGGCGUAAAGCGCACGCAGGCGGUUUGUUAAGUCAGAUGUGAAAUCCCCGGGCUCAACCUGGGAACUGCAUUUGAAAACUGGCAAGCUAGAGUCUCGUAGAGGGGGGUAGAAUUCCAGGUGUAGCGGUGAAAUGCGUAGAGAUCUGGAGGAAUACCGGUGGCGAAGGCGGCCCCCUGGACGAAGACUGACGCUCAGGUGCGAAAGCGUGGGGAGCAAACAGAUUAGAUACCCUGGUAGUCCACGCUGUAAAACGAUGUCGAUUUUGGAGGUUGUGCCCUUGAGGCGUGGCUUCCGGAGUAACGCGUUAAAUCGACCGCCUGGGGAGUACGGCCGCAAGGUUAAAACUU